UUCCUCGAAACACACCCUCCUCUUCUUUGAAACAAUGCCUUAAAAGCGAAAACCUUAACACAGAGCUCAUCACCCUAACGGCGGCGGCGCUCUUCACCUAACAUAGAGCUCAUCGCCGGUGCUCUCACUCUCUCCCCUAAUAACACUCGUUGGUCAACCUCGUUCCAACCCUCUCUAGCAAUCCCUCCGUAGGUGCCACCUCUGCCGGUGUUCCCUGCAUCGGCGCUCCUUCCGUCUGUAAACACCUAUCCCUCCUGCGGCGGUGACUCACUCUGGUAAGGCCUCCCUCGGCGCUCACUCUCUGUCGCAAACCCUCCGUCGACGCUCUCUCUCGCAAACCCUCAAUCGUCACUCCUCCCUCCAUGGUUUGGCACCCGCCGCGUUGCCGUCUCCCUGUCUGAAGUCGUCGCACCACCGUCUCCACCUCCGUCACUCGUCGCACCUCCGUCAGCCACGUUCAGCGUUCGCAGCACCGUGGCUAAAAGAUAUCAAUUAUUUCUUCAGGAAUUGAAACAACAAGGGAUACAAGAAAAAAGGCUGCAGCUGCUUGUUAAUGUUAUUGGGGCUUUUAGGCCUGGAGUGUUGACAGGAUUGGUUGGAGUAAGCAGGGCUGGAAAAACCACGCUAAUGGAUGUCUUGGCUGGAAGAAAAACUGGAGGUGUUGUAAAGCUGCUCUGCUGGCCGUGCCGGGAAACCUACUGUUAGAUGGACUAAGAUACAAAUCUGGUUUGAGGAUAGGCUCGAAGACUUACCAGAUGACCCUAAUAAUGAAUUGAUGAUUCUUGAAGACCCUGAAUGUAAUAAGGAAGGAUUCAAUCGCAAAUGGAAUCCCUUUGGAAGAUUUUGGACAUGGUCAUCCUGAUCCUAAUCUAAGGACUGUUUUAGCUUGGCUUUCUAUUAUUGCGCACCGCAACAAAGACAAGAAGGCAGGGGAGAAACUGAUCUCUUUGGCUGAUGUUGUGAAGGAACACUGGGCAACUUAUGGAUUCUUUUCUAGAUAUGACUGAGGAAUGUGAAUCUGAAGGUGCCAAUAAAAUGGUAGCAUAUCUACGAGAGACUGCAUCAAAGAGCAAGAUUGGCGAUAAGUUCUAAUGAUAAUUUUGAUAGUUCUAAUGAUCUCCUAAGUUCUAAUGGUGAACUUAUUUUGUCCUAAUUCAAUUAUUAGUUUUGUUAAAGUAUUGUAAUUUUUUAAUUACAAUUUUAGCAUGUAAAUAAUUCAUGUAAAUCAA